AUAACUUAGACAUGGCCGACGCGGGUCAAAGUGUAGUAUCUGUUUAUCAGCUUAAUAUCUAAUGCAGGUUGUAUUUGGAGCUGAGAUAUGAAUCCUAUUUUUGCAAGUUGACGGAAUGCUGAAAGCCUGCUUCACCGCCACCGCGGGUGGGUCCUGUAUUGCACAUUCGUCGGGAUCGGCCCACGUAUG